CAUGCAAGUCGAACGGAAAGGCCCUUUCGGGGGUACUCGAGUGGCGAACGGGUGAGUAACACGUGGGUGAUCUGCCCUGCACUUUGGGAUAAGCCUGGGAAACUGGGUCUAAUACCGAAUAGGACCACGCGCUUCAUGGUGUGUGGUGGAAAGCUUUUGCGGUGUGGGAUGGGCCCGCGGCCUAUCAGCUUGUUGGUGGGGUAAUGGCCUACCAAGGCGACGACGGGUAGCCGGCCUGAGAGGGUGUCCGGCCACACUGGGACUGAGAUACGGCCCAGACUCCUACGGGAGGCAGCAGUGGGGAAUAUUGCACAAUGGGCGCAAGCCUGAUGCAGCGACGCCGCGUGGGGGAUGACGGCCUUCGGGUUGUAAACCUCUUUCAGUAUCGGCGAAGCUCCAGGAUUCUUCUUGGGGUGACGGUAGGUACAGAAGAAGCACCGGCCAACUACGUGCCAGCAGCC
rnacentral:sRNA from 1 species